CCUACGGGAGGCAGCAGUGGGGAAUAUUGGGCAAUGGGCGCAAGCCUGACCCAGCAACGCCGCGUGAAGGAAGAAGGCUUUCGGGUUGUAAACUUCUUUUGACAGGGAAGAGUAGAAGACGGUACCCUGAAAACAAGCCACGGCUAACUACGUGCCAGCAGCCGCGGUAAUACGUAGGUGGCAAGCGUGGUCCGGAUUUACUGGGUGUAAAGGGCGUGUAGCCGGGAGGGCAAGUCAGAUGUGAAAUCUGGAGGCUUAACCUCCGAAUUGCAUUUGAAACUGUUUUGCUUGAGUACUGGAGAGGCAGACGGAAUUCCUUGUGUAGCGGUGAAAUGCGUAGAUAUAAGGAGGAACACCAGUGGCGAAGGCGGUCUGCUGGACAGAAACUGACGGUGAGGCGCGAAAGCGUGGGGAGCAAACAGGAUUAGAUACCCGAGUAGUC
rnacentral:rRNA from 1 species